rnacentral:tRNA from 1 species
GGCCCCAUAGUCUAGAGGUUAGGACAUUGGGUUUUCAUCCCAAAAACCAGGGUUCGAUUCCCUGUGGGGUCACCA